CACAGAAAAUCCGUUUGUUUGGAUGAAAAACGCGAAGAGUAGAGAGAGAGAAAGUCUUAUUUCCAAUUUUACCCUCAUCUUUUCCUAAUAUCGCAUUUAUGUCCUUUUCCUUUUCCCUCCAAUUUCUCUGCUAAUUCCAACUCUGUCCUUCUCCGUUAUCAAUUUCUAAGGUUUAAUUUCCCACCCAAGGGUUUCGCUUUCAUGCAAUGGAACGUUGGGUUUGAAACAAGUUCCGUCUUGGCCGCAAGAUUGGUGGCGGAUCCUUCGGCGAGAUCUAUCUCGGGGUGAAUACACAGACAGAUGAAGAGGUUGCAAUUAAGGGUUCUGCUGCUGGACCAAGUUCUGGGGUGCCGCCAGCUGUUGUAAAUGCUGAGAGACAGACUGCUAUAUUUUUCUUUCCUUUUCACUUCUAUGUCCCAGUUCUAUGGUUCCUUACCUAGCUCUUAAAUCUUACUUGUUGCUGUUCUUACUUUUAUUUUCUCGGAUCUGUUAACAACUUACAACUUUUUUUUUUAACAAUUAUUUCACUAUGUUAUUAUUUUA